GAGUUUGAUCCUGGCUCAGGAUGAACGUUGGCGGCGUGCCUAAGAUAUGCAAGUCGAAUGUCUCCGAUUUAAUCGGAGUAAUGGCGGACGGCUGAGUAACACGUAGGGAUCUGUCCCUUUCCGGGAGAUAGCCUCGAGAAAUCGGGGGUAAUAUCCCAUGGUUCCCGAUUUAAUCGGGAUAAAGAAAGUAACUUUUCGGAAAGGGGGGAACCUGCGGCCUAUCAGGUAGUUGGUAGGGUAACGGCCUACCAAGCCGAUGACGGGUAGCUGGCCUGAGAGGGUGGUCAGCCAGAGGGGCACUGAGACACGGGCCCCACUCCUACGGGAGGCAGCAAUCAGGAAUCGUCGGCAAUGGGCGAAAGCCUGACCGCGCGACGCCGCGUGUAGGAAGAAGCUCUCACGAGUGUAAACUACUGUGGCAAGGGAUGAAAUCCCGAAAAUUUCGGGAAUGACCGUACCUUGCUAGAAAGGGGCCGCUAACUGCGUGCCAGAAGCGUCGGUAAUACGUGGGCCCCAAACGUUAUCCGGUGUUACUGGGCGUAAAGGGUCGUGUAGGUGUUCCGAUAAGUUUUUGCUUAAAUAUUAAGGCUCAACCUUAAAAAAGGCAAAAAAACUAUCGGAAUAGAGUUUUCUUUAAGGAGACUAGAAUUCAGGGAGGAGUAGUGAAAUGCGUUGAUACCCUGGAGAAUACCAGUGGCGAAGGCGAGUCUCUCAAAGAAAACUGACGCUGAGACACGAAAGCUAGGGGAGCGAAGCAGAUUAGAGACCUGCGUAGUCCUAGCCCUAAACGCAUGCCUGCUAGCUGUACUCGUCAAACACCUUUGGUGUUUACGGGUGUGGCGAAGGUAACCCGUUAAGCAGGCCGCCUGGGGAGUACGGCCGCAAGGUUGAAACUCAAAGGAAUUGGCGGGGAGGCACACAACCAGUGGAACAUGUGGUUCAAUUCGAAACGAACCGAAGAACCUCACCAGGGCUUGACAUCCCGACGUUCUAUUUUGUGGAAACACAAAAAAUUCGCAAGAAGGUCGGGACAGGUGCUGCAUGGCUGUCGUCAGCUCGUUCAGUGAUGAGUGCCCUUAAGUGGGACAACGAGCGCAACCCCCAUCUUGUGUUAAAUCUGUCACAAGAGACAGGUCCGAUGUUACAUCGGACAGGAAGGAGGGGCAGACGUCAAGUCAGCAUGGUCCUUAUGCCCUGGGCUACACACAUGUUACAAUGGAUAGGACAACGGGCAAUGCUACCGGGCAACCGGACGCCAAUCCCUAAAACCUAUCCUCAGUGGGGAUUGAGGUCUGCAACUCGACCUCAUGAACGCGGAAUUGGUAGUAAUCGUGGGUCAGUCAUACCGCGGUGAAUACGUUCUUGCCUCUUGCACACACCGCCCGUCAAGCCAACAAAGUCGAAAAAAUCUGAAUCUCGAUUUAAUCGGGAGAGGAUUUUUUCGGCGAUGGGGGUUAA
rnacentral:rRNA from 1 species